CAUACCAGAUAUAAACAUAUCUA
rnacentral:snRNA from 1 species